rnacentral:rRNA from 1 species
CACGUAGGGUGCGAGCGUUGUCCGGAAUUACUGGGCGUAAAGGGUGCGUAGGUGGCCUGGCAAGUUAUCAGUGGUAAAUCGAGGCCCAACCUCGUGGAAACUGGCAAUACUGCUUGGCUUGAGUACAGGAGAGGUUAACGGAACUCUAUGUGGAGCGGUAAAAUGCACAGAUAUAUAGAAGAACAUCAAUAACGGCGAAGGCAGUUAACUAUUCUGUUACUGACACUGAGGCACGAAAGCGUGGGGAGCAAAACGG